AGAAUCUAGAUUUCUUAGGGUGUUUUCUGUGGUUUCUUUUCUAAAAAGGUAAUGAAUAAGGAAAACAGAAGAGUCAAUUGACUCAUAGAUACAUGAUCUAUCCGAAAAAAAUUAACUUAGGUAUUAUAGAGAGGAAACAUGUUUCUUUAAGUAAAAGUGCUUUCUUAACAAUCUUUCAAAACUGAAUAUUAGAGUUUGUCUUAAUUAACAACCAAAAUUCCCCAAGCAUGUGAAUAAAACUUGGCAGCUUUUUAAAGACAAUUGGUGUACUCUCAUAACAAAAUUUACUACAUGAUUUAUUU
rnacentral:lncRNA from 1 species